GAAUCAGACGGCGUUUUCGAUAAUUAUGUAGAAUAGCACGGACAACGGAAACAUCGUGCGAAACCUCAGCAUUUACGCGAAAGACCAAAAAGAAGCAAAGUACUUCUUUUGUCUAAAAGUUUGAUAAAGAUGGUGUGAUGAACGAGAGAUCACGUAAAAUCAGUGUGAUGUCAUGGCGAUGUGAAAAUGUGGAGAGCUCGGGACAAAGUAGAAUAAUCCGCUCGAGUUGUUGUUUUUGCUGAAGUGACGACAACCAGUGCGAUGGAUCAAUAUGGCCUCACUCGUCUGAACACAAGCCCGUUGCAGACCUGAAUAAUGGUUCCAAAGAUCUAAACGCAAACAUAAGUGUUUCCAUAUUUACUUAAUAUUUCCAAGUACAUUAGUUAGGUAUAGGCUUCCACAUGACUGUCGAAAAAUCGAAAUCAAAGCAAUAACAUAUGUAGCCAUUAACAAGCUCAUGCUAACUGCCAUUUUCAGCCAACCAAGAACCGAUGAAAUUCACCAUAGUAAAAUAGUAAAUCGUUUAUUGUUAUCAUUAUUUGCAGUCCGAAAGCUGAAUUACAUAAUUAUCUAUAUACACCAUUAUAAAACAUUUAAGAAAAAAAGGAAAAUUACAACUGUAUACAAGAAAUUGCAAGACAAAAACAAAUCAAAGGGAAACUGGCUGCAGCAAAUGACUUAAACUUUCUACAAAAAUUUGGUAUUGGCUCAACCAAGAUGAGGAAAACAUCAGUGCUUCCAAAGUUGUGGGAAGGAUUCAUUCAUCCAGGCAUAGACAGGAUGAACAAAUUUUUUGCUCGGUUGGUGCGAACAGGUGGGACUUUAUGUUCAUGGCUGUUACACAGAUUAUAAUUUAUUGGCUUUUAUGCUUUUCUGGUAAAAGUUCCCUAAGUCUAUGAUCUUCAUUAUUCAUGCUUGAUGAAAAAAACUUUCUACAGGGAUGGUUAUGGUGAUCUUCUAUCCCUUUUAUAAACCCCAAACUUUUUAUCCCAGAAUGAAAAUUGCAAUCUGUCAAAAUAAUAGAGACAGCUCUCUUCUCUAUGCAUUUAAAUUCAUGUUAAGAUACAGUGAUAGAGAGUUGUAAAAGCUAACUAUUCCAUAAUGAAUGAGUGGCCUAAUGCAAGUUACACAGCAAAGGCACAGA